AUUGGACGUCAGUGGUGGAAGGGGAUUUCCCAUUUAGGGAUAUAAAAUUUGGUGCUUUCCUUCUGUGAUUUGCUUUGCUUUGUCUGACUGCUUGUUAGGAGGGAGAUGCCUUUUCUUUCAAGAUAGUAGUAAAAUUUCUUUCUGCUUCCACCUUGAGGAAUCUCUUUGAUUAUGUGAGCCCAUGGUCUUUGUCCCACACAGAUAAGAUGGGGGCUCGUCUGGGAUCUUGAAGUCUACUGGGAGAGGAGCUCUAUUUCUGAGACUGGGGAUAGGUAUGCCCCACCCAACUUUGGCAGACCCAGAGGGUGAGUCACCUCCUGAUGUGCUGAAUGACAGGAGAAGAAAAGACUCUGAUGAAGCAGGAACAAACCUGGAAAAGACUCUUAUUGUACACCCAGCUGGAACUUAAAAAGCAAAGAUUGCUGAUGCAGACAACACCUUUGGAGUAUGCAGUUCCAAGAGAGUGGGUGCUUACUAAGUCCUAGAAGAAGCAGAGUGGGAAGGACCUUACCAAUGUUGCAGAUGACUGAGGCUGCAAUCCAAAGACUGAGAACACCAGAGUUAAAGGACCUGUGGAGGAACUUCAAGAAUAGAUUGCUAAGGACAAUUUAUAAUUUGCAAAAAUUGACUUUGAACCAGGGUAGUUAAAAUGUUUGGGUGGGAAAGGAAAUGUAUCAAAGAAUACACACCAUAGAAAAGUCCUAAAGAUGGUUGGGGUGAACAGGUAGGAACGUCAAGCUAACCCCUUCUCUGGGACCCUUGUAGGUUUCUCUAUUUGAAAUAUUACUGUCUUUUGAAACCAUCUUGUCAGUCCUGUGAAGAGUUUAUUUAGGUUUUAUAAUCUCCAAAAAAGGAAUGGUUUAUUGAUAAUCUAUAAGUUUGCUAUAUAAAAAUUAUUUCUAUUGUUUACUUCUCAUACCAGAAUGACUUUUGCUACAAAGAAAAGGGGUCAAAAAUAUUAAAUGAAAAUUUUUUAUGUAUGUGAAGUUUAGGAAAUUUUGUUUUAAUUGGUUGUAUUGAACCAUCUUAAAGUUGUACUUAUUAUUUAAAGGGAUUCUGAGAAUAGUAGCUAAUUCCUUUGUUCCUUUGAACAUAUUUUUAUUUUUAGAUAAUAUGCAAUUUUGAAUUUAUGCAUAUAUAUUAAAACUUGAGCCUUUGGUUACUAGUUAUUGAGUAUUUUAAAGCAAAAAUUAUUUGUGUAAUGUUGAACUUAAAACCAUCUACUUAGAUAUGAAAGAUAAGCUGUGAACUUUCUAAGAUGAAUAUUUUACUGUUAUCAUUGUAAGAUCAUAGUCAAUACUUAUUCAGUACAUGUGAUUCUUGAGAGCUAAUUAAAUUCACCUGAAGCUUUGAUUAAUGAGA